UCACGCUCACACACACGCACAGAUAUACACUCGAUGACCGAUACCGUCUCCCUCUUUCUGUUAUAUUCUCCGUCUCCUCAGCUUGCUCUGCACCACUGAGACUUUUGUGUUUUUCCCUGUGUAGUGUAUGGUGGAACCAGUUCUCUGCGGCACCAGCACAUGCUAUUCUAGCCACAAACUGAGCAGCAGCAGCAGUAGCAGCAGCUCCUGCCUCUCACUUUGCUGCUUGUGAAUUUGUUUGCUUGCCUUUGCCACUGGUACUUUUCCUCACAGCGCUGAUUUUCUUUGUCCAUAAGGAAUGUUUCCCUACAAAGUCCUGAGCAUGGCAGGGUGAGGAAAAGAGAAAUCAUGGCUGUGGAAGGUGGAGAAGAGGCAGCAGUGACUGAACUGUGACGAGGCUGGAAUGAAGCAGAGAUGCAAGGCUGCAAGUCAAGAGGGAAAGCACCAACUCAAGAGUGAGGAAGAGGGAACGGAAAGAAGGAAUCAAGUUCGAAUCCGGAAAGAAAUGCGGGAAAAGGUGACAAAACGGCCAAAGGAGCUUUUGGAUGUAGUAGAAGCUGUACAGAAUUUGACAAAAAAAAGGGUGAAUUAAGACAUAGUGUAUGAGGAAAGGUUGCAGACAGCAGCAGACAAUUUGAUUGCAGCUGCCUCCAAACUGCCUACAGGGGUCACCACACUGGAUCGUCUGCCUCCAU